rnacentral:rRNA from 1 species
GUAAUAGUUAUGUUCUUGAAACCCAAAGAAUUUGGCGGUAUUUUAUUCUUUUUAGAGGAACCUGUCCUGUAAUUGAUAACCCACGAUGGAGAGUUACUUAUUUUUGUUUCCAUUUUGUAUACCUCCGUCAUCAGAAUAUCUUUUUAGAGAAAAUAUUCUAAUAACACUAAAUGAGAUAUGUCAGGUCAAGGUGCAAUUUAUGAAUAAGUAGAGAUGGGUUACAAUAAAAAUAUUUAUACGGAUUAUAAUUAUUAUCUAUUUAUAUGAAGGUGGAUUUAAAAGUAAAAUUGUUUACUUAUCAAUUUGAUUUUAGCUCUAAAAUAUGCACACAUCGCCCG